rnacentral:rRNA from 1 species
AACGAACGCUGGCGGCAUGCCUAACACAUGCAAGUCGAACGAGACCUUCGGGUCUAGUGGCGCACGGGUGCGUAACGCGUGGGAACCUGCCCUUAGGUUCGGAAUAACUCUCCGAAAGGGGUGCUAAUACCGGAUAAUGUCUUCGGACCAAAGAUUUAUCGCCUUUGGAUGGGCCCGCGUUGGAUUAGCUAGUUGGUAGGGUAAAAGCCUACCAAGGCGACGAUCCAUAGCUGGUCUGAGAGGAUGAUCAGCCACACUGGGACUGAGACACGGCCCAGACUCCUACGGGAGGCAGCAGUGGGGAAUAUUGGACAAUGGGCGAAAGCCUGAUCCAGCAAUGCCGCGUGAGUGAUGAAGGCCUUAGGGUUGUAAAGCUCUUUUAACCGGGAUGAUAAUGACAGUACCGGGAGAAUAAGCUCCGGCUAACUCCGUG